GGGGACAGAUUGUGGUUCAGAGGUAGAGCAUCUGCCUUCCACACAGAAGGUCCCAGAUUCAGACUCAGGUGUCUUCA
rnacentral:tRNA from 1 species